CCUCUGGUCGAGAACGACCGAAAUAGUCUAUUGUUCUCUAAUUGGUGAUUGUUCGUGUGGAGGAGAUUCAAGACCGUUCGUUUGUGAAAAUGUAGUGUCGGAAACUCGUUAAGGUGCGAUUAAUUAUCUACACGUUUGAAAACUUGUUUCACGCGAUCGCGUGUUCAAGAAUGUUUGUCGAAAACAUAAAACACUCGCAUCACUUUUUAUCGAAUUUUUCAAGAAGAGAGUAACUUUCACGGACACAGAAGACAAAGGUGCAAUCACAUCAAGGGAGUUCCGUUCCAUUGUAUACAAGCAUCUUGCCACCUGUAAAAUAAUUGCGAAGAGAUAUUUAUUUUUAAUUACUUGACGUGAAGAAUCAGAAGAAAUUACCAUGCACGUCUCCUCAUCAAUCGGUUUACCACCGAUGACCACCGUCUUGGCCAAAGUCCUGGUAUUCCUCGGAUAUAUAAUCUUCUCUGAAACAGGGAAACAGGAAUAUCAUCUAUCCUCGAUAAUGUACUCUUCCUGUUCUCCACCUGGAUAGAGUUGAUCAGGCUCUCCCAUAAGAGCUGCACACCUAGCGGCUCUAGCAGACAGCAGCAUCACGAAU